CAUACAGAGAUAAAAACGCCGUAAAUACGAGUAAGGGACAAGAUGAAGGUUAUACAAUUUAAACAUUAUAAGAGAAUUACAAGCAAAGAAAAAAUCAAAACGUCUUCACAUGGAUACGACAGAAUUUAAGCUACAGCAUAUGCGCAUAGGAUCGUUUUUUCAACUGAUAUUCGGGGAAAAGAGUUAACCUGCUACAUUAUGAAAGCGACUCUGAGUAAAACCUUUUAUGUCAUUUGCAUUUAAGUAUUACAGAAAUUCCAAAAUACACUACAGCAGUGACAGCAGUGAAAGCAGAGGCAGCAGUGGGGAGGAUAAUGACUCUCUAGUGUCAUCUCUCGAUCAUAGAGACAGGGAAAUUACUCAGGAAACUGUUCAGGCACCCUCUACAGCAGUUACCCUGGAUUUUCAGGAUAUGCCUCCAAGCAGAAGUACUCAAGGAGGUUCAAAUGCUAAAGGAAAUGUCAUCCAGACGGUAGAAGUAAGUUCUGCUAUCUUGAGGCAUAAAUCAUCGAUUUCUUUUCAAAACUUUUCAUAAUAGGUGCACAAUAAGGAACGGUUAACAUCAUAAGGAGGCCACAUUAACCAUAUGACAACGGGGGAAAAAUCAAACCUUUGGUUUGCAAGAUGCAUGUAGAAGCUUAAACAACUUUUGCUAAAACAGCUUCAACUACUAAGUAUAUGUCUGUUUGCAUUUUUUUCAGCUCGUGCCCAGGAAACAACCUCGAGUGAAACAAGAGGCAGACAUAAUGAGGAAGUACGUAAAGAGAUCAAGCGGAGAAAGAGACAUACACCGACCAGAUGUUGAUCAGUUCAUAAUUGGUCUCCUCCUGGCUGUGUGCUUGAUACUUUUCACAUUAUUGCUUUUCACGGGAGUGUACAUUUAUAUAUACCUAAAUUAGAACUAGUAUCUAUUAAGAUAAACAUAUUUUAAACAUAUAAAUUAGAAUUUCUGUUCAUUUGAGGUGAAAAGCUGCUGUAUCUUAGAGCAAUAGAAAGAAAAUACUAUAUACAAAAGCUGCUGUUGAUAAGUUUGUGAUUAUUUCCUUAAUAAGGUAUCUGCUUCUUCAAGAAAUACUCCUCAAGCCACUGUAAUUAGCAAAGUUAAUCAACUGACCCAUAAUAAGGGUAUUAAAUGGUGUUCAGAUGAUUAUAUACUUUUUGUCAUGAACACGUAAAAACAAAAAUACUUAUGACCCUGUUACAUGGUGUAAGGACCAAAGGAUAUUUCCUAACUUAAAGAAAAAGAACUUAAUUCCUCACCCCGUCUCUCCUCUUCACCUUCCUCAAACAAGUCAAUUCCAUUUGAAAUCUAGAAGUGUACCUGCUCUAGUGCUCAGCAAAGCGAAUGCAUAUCAGUGUUUUCAAGCAGUCAUUACACUCCAUUCAAGUUAUCACUAUCGAAGCGCGACAGAUCA